UACGAAGGGUGCAAGCGUUAAUCGGAAUUACUGGGCGUAAAGGGUGCGUCGGCGGUUCGUUAAGUCUGUUGUGAAAUCCCCGGGCUCAACCUGGGAAUGGCAAUGGAUACUGGCGAGCUAGGGUGUGAUAGAGGAUGGUGGAAUUCCCGGUGUAGCGGUGAAAUGCGUAGAGAUCGGGAGGAACAUCAGAGGCGAAGGCGGCCACCUGGAUCAACACUGACGCUGAAGCACGAAAGCGUGGGGGGCAAACAGG
rnacentral:rRNA from 1 species